AUUGAACGCUGGCGGCAGGCUUAACACAUGCAAGUCGAACGAGUGGCGGACGGGUGAGUAAUGCUUGGGAAUCUGCCUUAUGGAGGGGGAUAACUACGGGAAACUGUAGCUAAUACCGCAUACCAUAGGAUGAGCCCAAGUGGGAUUAGGUAGUUGGUGGGGUAACGGCUCACCAAGCCGACGAUCCCUAGCUGGUCUGAGAGGAUGACCAGCAACACUGGGACUGAGACACGGCCCAGACUCCUACGGGAGGCAGCAGUGGGGAAUAUUGCGCAAUGGGGGCAACCCGGACGCAGCCAUGCCGCGUGAAUGAAGAAGGCCUUCGGGUUGUAAAGUACUUUCAGUAGCGAGGCGUUAACUACAGAAGAAGCACCGGCUAACUCCGUGCCAGCAGCCGCGGUAAUUC
rnacentral:rRNA from 1 species